CCCUUAGACACUCUAGGCGGCACGCGCGCUACAAUGGGUGGAAGAACGUGUUACUACCUCCGAAAGGAGGGGUGAAUCACGAAUUCUUGCCCGUGAAUGGGAUAGUUUGUUGCAAUUUUCGGACUUGAACUAGGAAUCCCUUGUAAACAUGCUCAAGAAUAGCGUGUUGAAUACGUCCCUGCCGUUUGUACACACCGCCCGUCGUUUCUUCCGACUGAUACUCAUUGUGAGUUGCAAGGACCCUUUAUUGGGAAAUUGCUGCAAAUGCUUUGUAUUGGAGGAAGAAAAAGUCGUAACA
rnacentral:rRNA from 1 species